GACUUGGAGAACUUUUGUGUCUAGCCAAAGGUUUGUAAAGGCACCAAUCAGUACCCUGUCAAAAUGGACCAAUCAGCGCUCUGUAAAAUGGACCAAUCAGCGCUCUGUAAAAUGGACCAAUCAGCAGGAUGUGGGUGGGGUCGGAUUAGGGAAUAAAUGCGGGCUGCCGGAACCAGCUGUGGCAACCCAGUGGGGUCUUGUUCCACAGUGUGGAAGCUGUGAUUUUUUUGGCUCUUUGCCAUGAAUCUUCCUGCUGGUCACUCUUUGGGUCCCCACUGCCCUUAUUAGCUGUAACACUCACCGGGAAGGUCUGCAGGUUCACUCCUGAGGCCAGCGAGACCAGAAACCCACCAGGAACCCACCAGAAGGAAGAAACUCUGAAUAUGUCCGAACAUCAGAAGGAACAAAUUCUGGACACACCAUCUCUGAGACCCGUAACACUCACCGCGAAGGUCCGCGGCUUCAUUCUUGAAGUCAGUGAGACCAAGAACCCACCAAUUCCAGACACAAUGGGAGUGUUUCUCAUGGUCUAGCACCAUCCCCCUAGUGCUGUCUUGUGAUAGAAUUCCCGCGAGAUCUGGUUGUUUAAAAGUGUGUGACACCUUCCUCUUCGCUCUCUUCCUCCUGCUCCUGCCAGUUCCCAGGCAGCUAACAGAAUGCCCUGAAUGCUUCCAAGUCGCCACAGUUGCAGAAUUGCAACGUUUGUUCACAAGGAUGAAGGUGUGGUCUUAAUUCAAUUUGUGACAAGAUUCACCUCAACUCCAAUUUCACUUCAGGGCCUUAAGCAAAAGCAAAGAUCAGCAACUGAAUAGAACAGAAAAGAGGAAAAACCCAGAAAUCCUGGGAGAAGCCCAGUGACCAUCCCUGAUGCCCCUAAAUUCUCCCAGAGCAAUGAGAGCUGCCCUGCUGCAGGCAAAGCAUGUGACACCCAGCAGCCCAACAGGAAGCCCACCAGAUUACUCCCUACUCCACGGACCUCCUUUGAUGACAGGCAGCUUCAGAAUUCCUCAGCUCGUGUGCGCUCCUGACAUGAUCAACCACACCAUGCUGAGAGGUGAGCAUGGCAAAAUAGUUUUUCUUAGACCCCUGGCCCUAUCAAGAGCUGAGGAUGAAGCUCCCACUGAAGCUCUGACUCCAGCUUGGCCCCUCAUCCCCAGCUUCCUUGUCCUGAGCUGAUUGACAACUUCCCUGCCUUUUCUGUUCCUCCUCUCCCUGCCUUCCUGGGACUGGACCUGGAGUUCCUUCUGUGAGAGACAUUGGUGGAAUCUACAGUCAUCUCUGCAGGGUCCCAGCUGAACACCCGCCUAUCUGUUUGCCGAUGCUGGUCAAGCGUAAGGCUUGCUCCAAUAAAUUGAGUAAGAAAUGAAAAUCUUCAAGCCAUGACAAUUCAGCUCUGUGCCAGCAAAGGAGACUCCAGGCUCUGGAAAAUCCUGAGGUCCUGCCUUCCUGUGAAAUAACUUUUCUUCUGAAAAAGAAUAACCUUUGAGAAACUGUGUGAUUCAUGUUCUCAACAAGAUUCAAGCAAACAUCACAGUUAAUUCCAAGAAUCCUCUCUCGAAUGUCAACAUAUGAAACAAAGAACCCUGGUGUGAAAUGGGAAGCCCAGUUGCUGAACACAAAACAUCAGUGGUCACUCUGGAAUGUGAACCUGGACUUCCUCCAUCCAUGAUGCACAACCUCGAGGCUGGUUUUAUGAGCUGCAUGUGACAGUUUACAAUCUGGUUACUUAACCAUAAUACAUAGUCUGCAGAUCCCUUCCUUUUUGGAAGGAGAUCCUGUGUGGAGAACUGAGAACUCUGAGCUCUGUCCCCAGUGAGCAAGAAACUUGUCUAUGGUUUUUCCGAAAUGCAACCCAUUGUCUCCCAGGCCCCACCACUCAAUAACAAGUGGUUCUCCCAGGAACAUUGCAAAUAUGCAGCUAUAUUCUUUCAGUUGGUUCUUUCCUUGUCUGUUUUCUUUCUGACCAACUAGAAUGUAAGCUCCCGAGGGCAGGCACUCGUCUGUCCAGUUCACUCCAUGUUGCCCACAUGAAGCAUCUGCACAUAGUAGAGGCUCGAUUAGGAAGUCGUGGAUGAGGAAACUGGAUGUCACUUCUGCCCGUGUCUUGUCCAUGAGCAUUACUCAGGUGGGGUGACAACUCUCUUUCCAAAUCACAUUGCCCUUGACAUUCACUAAAAUUGGCUUUUCAGCACCCAUCUGGAUGGGGAAGGAGAAAGGGAUGAGGCAGUAGAAUUUACAAACAUGUGUUUAUGGGUCGGAAGGGAACUAACAACAAAAUCUGUAUCCCCAAGGGACGGUCCGGUCUGGAAAGGGAGAGGGGCCUGUCAGUGCAGCGGAGGAGAGGCACCAACACCUCCUCCUACCUCCCAUUCCCUCUGCACACUGGACAAUCAUGUCCUGCAGUGAGAAAAGCCAAUUGUUUCAGUCAAGGCUUCCAGUCUUAUUCUUGGCAUACAAACAUGUGAAAAUAGACGUGUCAGUCAUUUUCACGACUGCCAGGGUGGCUGCCAAGUAAACCAGCAGGAGCAGGAGUAGAAGCUGACGUGGGAACCGUGCACCUGCUAUUUUCCCAUUAAUAUGUUGCUGUUUGGGGGCUACAAUUCUGCCAGCUUGUCGGAAGAUUUUAUCUGUUUAUAAUGCAUGAAUUCUGUGUUUUUAUGACUGUUCAGAAAAAAAAAAAAACAGAAGAGCCCCCCUAGGUUAUAUUACCUUGGCAUUCUUUUGAAAGUUCAUCUGCAUUAGGAAGGGUGGAUGGUAAAGAUGAUGACUAUUUUGGCUGUCCAGAUCUGCUCACAUCGUUCUUCCCCAGACUCACCCAGCCUGAGCGUCAUCCUCUUCUCCUCCUCUCAGUAUUUGAAUACCUAAAAAUAUGGCCGGGCACAGUGGCUCACGCCUGUAAUCCCAACACUUUGGGAGGCCGAGGUAGGUGGGUCACAAGGUCAGGAGUUCAAGACCAGCCUGGCCAAGAUGGUGAAACCCCAUCUCUACUAAAAAUACAAAAAUUAGCCGGGCAUGGUGGCAGGCGCCGGUAAUCCCAGCUACUCGGCAGGCUGAGGCAGGAGAAUCACUUGAACCCGGGCGGCAGAGGUUGCAGUGGGCAGAGAUCAUGCCACUGCAUUCCAGCCUGGGUGACAGAGUGAGACUGCAUCUCAAAAAUAAAUAAAUAAAUGAAAAUACUAGGGGGAUUCAGUAUUAUCCCUAUUUUACAGAUGAGAAAACUGAGGCCCAGCAAGGUUAAGUGACUUGCUCAGUGUUCUGUGGCCUGAAAGUGGUGGGGUUAGGGUUAGAAACCAGACGGCUUGUUCCACAGCCCUGUGCUGUUGUUAAUGGCUAUGCCUUGCUGAGAUUAGUGUAUAUGCCAGAUCAAUCAUUCAGAGAUGGGUUUUAGGAAAACAACAAACAAACCGAAACAGGAUGCCCAGUAAAAUUUGAAUUUUACAUAAAUAACAAUAUUUUUUAGUAUAAGCAUAUCCCGUGGGAUAUUUGGGACAUACUUUCACUUAAAAAUUUGUGUUGCUUAUCUGAAAUUCAAAUUUAACUGGGCAUAUUGUAUUUGAUUUGUCAGCCUAGCAUUGGUAGUAGAUGACUAGUUUGGAGAUCCAGGAAUCUGGGAGUUGGGGUGACCUGGGGAUGAGAGAUGGAUGUCAGUCAAGACAGGCAGGUUGGUAGAAGCAGCUUGGAGCGUCUUCUCAUCUUGACCACCAGUCUGACUUCCUAGAAGAGAUGCUGAUGGGACUCCAGGGGAAGUGUUUGUGCCCUCUGCAUGCAUUCCCAUGUGCGCACACACACACACACACACCAUAUACACACCCCUGGCUCUCUACCUAGAAUGUCCGACUCAUCAGGAGCAAGUUGCAUGCCCUGGUGAAGCUUAGUGCCUCUGCUGUGCAGGUGGGAGGGAAAGGCAACUUAGGAGCUUUAGAGCACUCCAGGCAGGCUGUAGGCCCCAUCUCCUAAGAGCCUAUGCUUUUAUUUUUGUUUUUGUUAAAGACAAGGUCUCACUCUAUUGCCAAGACUGGAGUGCAAUGGUGUGAUCAUAGCUCUUUGAAGUCUCAAACUCCUAGGCUUAAGAGAUCCUCCCACUCAGCCUCCCGAGUAGCUGGGACUACAGCCAUCAGCCAUGUGCCACCAUGCUCAGCUAAGGUUUUUUUUUUUUUUUUUUUUUAAGAGAGACAGGGGUCUUGCUAUGUUGCCCAGGCUGGUCUUGAUCUCCUGGGCUUAAACAGUCCUCCCAUCUCAGCUUCCCGAGUAGCUGAGGAUUAUAGGUGUGCACCACCGUGCCUGUGAGCCCAUGCUUUUGAAUGAGAGGGUGCUAGUGGGCUAUUGUGUGGCACAGCCAAGCUUCCUUUCCAGGCAUUAUUUGUCUCUGGAUGUGAAGCAUUUCCUAGCAAUCAGUGAUGUGUUCUGUGUAGUCCUGUCCACACUGCAUUUGCAAAAAUCCCUCAUGGAUGCUGGGAUGUGGUUAAUUUCUGGUUUCACUUUGUAAUGAAGAUGCACAUGUUUUCUGUUUUAUGUUUUGGAGGUACAUGUGUCUAUGAACAUAGAGACAGAUGUGGACAUAUAGAUUGAUAGUCGCUUUGAAGACAAUUUGAGGUGGUUUAUGCUGUGGUUGUUUACAUGAGAACAAUGGGGAGGGAGAAGGAACCCCAUGCUCCCUUGAGGUCCUUCUACCUGUCUCAGAAACCCCACAUCUCAGAUCCUCAACCAGAUUGUAAGAUCCUCAAACACAGGACAGGUUUUACUUACCUAGUGCUUCCCAGAGAUGCCCAGUAGAGAGCCUUCUGCAUCUUUCUGUAUUUUUCCAUUAGCUGAUUUGGUAAACCUGAUGAAGCAAAUACUGUUUGGUUGAAACAAUUUACAUUGCUCUAGGCAACGCUAUUCCUCAGCCAAAUGAAUUAGAUGAUUAAUAAGUAUAACACGUAAUUGAAUUCAAAGUCCACGUUUGCCAUCCCCUAAGCAGAGGAGGUUUCGUUGUAUAUUGUUAUUGAUGGAAAGAAACUGAGGUACUUUGGCUAAACAAAAGAGGGUACAGAUGGCAUUGUGCUUCAACUACACAAAAGGAGCCUGCUUAUAUACAUGCUUGCUGCAUGCCAAUUUCUGCUCUCUGGUAUUUUAGUGGAGAAAGGAGAUUUCUUUAAAGACACUAAAGUAAGUAUCAACAAAGAAGUGAUUUAUCUUUAUAUCAGAAUUUUGGCUUGGAGCACAAUCAGGAUUUUGGGUCUGUUUGGGGCUAAGUAGAAAUAUAUGUGAGACCAAAAUAGGUUUUUCCUGAACCUUCAAAACUAUACACAGUGAAAGAAAUAUUAGCUUCAAAAAUCAAAGUGAUUGGAUUUUCUAGAAUCUGUAUGAUAUGAUGAGAAAAUGUAUGCAAUAUACAUAAACCAGAAUAGCCUUCCUUAUUCAAUGUUAACACUUUUUAUAAGAAAGUAUUAGACCUAUUGAUUUAGCAACUACAUAAUUAUUGGUACUUGAAAUACAGGCUUAUAGAAACGAAGAAGUCAGAGUCACUCAUUCAAAAUGUAAGCAUAAAUAUGACUUCCAUUAGCAAUACCGGAUUCCUGGAUAGAAUGGCCCAGUCUAGUCAUCCCAGCAGGUCAAAGUGGCAAACCAGGUCAACACCAGAAGAGGCCCUUACAAAUCCAAACAGAAACUUCUUUCUAAACCAAAUCAUUUGGAAAACACCUGAGCAAUCCAUGAAGUUUUUUACUGAGGUGCAGACAUUCCAAAAGCUAAGCAAAUAUUCAUGUAAUGAGUGCCCCAAGACCAUCAGCCGUGGACCUGUCGUUACUUCAAACAAGUCAGGAUUUCAGCCAGGUCAAGGUUGAAGAAGAAUAAUUUUGGUCUAAGCACCUGGCAUUUGCUCUUAGGUGUGGUCAAACUAUAUAUAGGUGGAUGCCGCCAGUCUUUAGUUGAAUUGGGCAAAGAACUCUGAGUUCAGUAGGGGUGUGUGUGUCUGUGUGUGUGUGUGUGCAUUUGAAAUCUUUUUCAUCUUUAAUGAAAUCUAUUUUUUAAAUGUCCUUCUUGUCUAAGUGCAACUAAGAGAGAGACUGCCCAUACUAAGAGAUUGGGGUGUUUGCUCAGGGCAGGGGUACAAGGCACACCUAUUCCUCACCCAGUGCAAGCUGGGGGGAUGGAGGAAUUAGAUGACUCCUGAGUUCGCUGCUCUAACCAGAGAGGGAAGGGGCAAGCCUGCAUUCUUGUCAAGGUGAGGAUAAUUCUGGCCUCAUGUGACCCAGCUUUGCUGAUCCUACCAGGUGAGCAUUCCUGAAAUAACUGCUAUCCUCGUGGAGUCCUGUUCCUGGUCCUGUCUACUCAAGAGAUUGUGGGUGUCGCCUGCCUUGAGUUGGCCACCCUCAUGGGCUUCUUUGUUACUGGCAAUCAAAGUCCUGAUAACCUUGAUGUGAUACCCCUGCAUUCAUCCCAGGUAAAAUUCUAAUGAAAAGCCACUUCUCUCAGAUCAUCAUGUGGGAUGGUAGAUUUCACCUGUUGACAGAUACCUAGGGAUAGAUAUGGACUUGGAAGUCAGGAGGACCUGGGUUCAAAUCCCUACUCAUCCACUUGUGGGCAAGAGAGCCUGGAAAAUUUACUUACUCUAAAAACCUGUUUCAUUGUCUAUAAAGAUGCAGAUAAUAACAAUGACAAUAGAAUUUUAUAUGGACUGAAUGAGCUAAUCCAAUGUAAAUGUGUAACACUGGGUCUGAUUUGGUAAAAAAGCACCAUUUUAUAAACAUAGAGAGCAAUUCAGGAUGAGGAAAGGCAACAGAGUUCUAUUACCUUUCAGGUCUCAGUUCAUGUCAAUAUCAAUUUUGAAAUGUCAUUCAACAAAACAAGUAUAUAGUGAGUUCUUAUUAGGUGUCAGGCACAAAUUCCAGGAGUUGGGUAAGACAGUCAGUGUCCCUACCCUCAGGAAGCUUACAUUUUAAUAAAGAAAGAAAGGAAAGAAGGGAGACAGGGAGGGAGGGAAAGAAAAAAUAAAAUGUAAUUGAUGUAGCAGUACAAACCCUCAGGCAUUAUGAUAGGGGUGACUUUUGCAAAUCCCCCCGAUAUGGUUUGGCUGUGUCCCCACCCAAAUUUAUCUUGUAUCGUAGCUCCCAUAAUUUCCACGUGCUGUGAGAGGAACCUGGUGGGAGGUAAUUGAAUCAUGGGAGCAGUUUCCCCCAUGCUGUUCUCAUGGUAGUGAGUAAGUCUCACAGAUCUGAUGGUUUUAUAAAGGGAAACCCCUUUUGCUUGGCUCUUAUUCUCUAUUUGCCGGUCACCAUGUAAGAUAGCCUCUUGCUCCUUUUUCGUUUUCUGCCAUAAUUGUGAGGCCUCCUCAGCCAUGUGGAACUGUGAGUCAAUUAAACCUCUUUCCUUUGUAAAUUAUCCAGUCUUGGGUGUGUCUUUAUCAGCAGCGUGAAAACGGACUAGUAUACCCCCUAACCCUAACCCUAACCAAACAACUUUGAUUUUGU
rnacentral:lncRNA from 10 species